CCAUAUACCAGGCCCCAUCUUCUCAAGACAAACUUCAAUCUUUGAUUGGCUAAGUGACUUAACUAGUGGGUUUACCAUAUCUUAUGUAAAGUAUACUCUUUGCACCUCCAUGUAUUUCUACUUGUGAUAGUCGCAUGUACUACUGCUCAUGUGCAUGGAUUUCUAGUGGGACCUUAGCUCCUUAGUGAGAGCUAUGGGGACUUUGUCUUUGCAGUAUAAUGUUAUAUUAUC
rnacentral:lncRNA from 1 species